GAUGAACGCUGGCGGCGUGCCUAAUACAUGCAAGUCGAGCGAACGGACGAGAAGCUUGCUUCUCUGAUGUUAGCGGCGGACGGGUGAGUAACACGUGGAUAACCUACCUAUAAGACUGGGAUAACUUCGGGAAACCGGAGCUAAUACCGGAUAAUAUUUUGAACCGCAUGGUUCAAAAGUGAAAGACGGUCUUGCUGUCACUUAUAGAUGGAUCCGCGCUGCAUUAGCUAGUUGGUAAGGUAACGGCUUACCAAGGCGACGAUGCGUAGCCGACCUGAGAGGAUGAUCGGCCACACUGGAACUGAGACACGGUCCAGACUCCUACGGGAGGCAGCAGUGGGGAAUAUUGGACAAUGGGCGCAAGCCUGAUCCAGCAAUACCGCGUGGGUGAAGAAGGCCUUCGGGUUGUAAAGCCCUUUUGUUGGGAAAGAAAAGCAGCAGGUUAAUACCCCGCUGUUCUGACGGUACCCAAAGAAUAAGCACCGGCUAACUUCGUG
rnacentral:rRNA from 1 species